rnacentral:rRNA from 1 species
UACUCCUACGGGAGGCAGCAGUGGGGGAUAUUGCACAAUGGGGGAAACCCUGAUGCAGCGACGCCGCGUGGAGGAAGAAGGUUUUCGGAUUGUAAACUCCUGUCGUUAGGGACGAUAAUGACGGUAC